UUGAAUAGAAGCUCUUACGGAUGCAUGAAAAUGCUUAAUAGGGAAAGCUAGUGAAAAUCUAGCACGGACCCGCCACUGUAAUUACGUUUGUUGUAAAAGUCAGGUAACCUGCCGUAAUGGAAUAGAGCGU
rnacentral:ncRNA from 2 species